rnacentral:rRNA from 1 species
UUCCGGUUGAUCCUGCCGGAGGUCACUGCUAUUGGGAUUCGACUAAGCCAUGCGAGUCGAGAGGGUUCGGCCCUCGGCUGACGGCUCAGUAACACGUGGAUAAUCUGCCCUUAGGUGGAGGAUACCCUCGGGAAACUGAGAAUAAUACUCCAUAGGCCUGGGAUGCUGGAAUGCACCUAGGCUUAAAGCUCCGGCGCCUAAGGAUGAGUCUGCGGACUAUCAGGUUGUAGUCAGGGUAAAGACCUGACUAGCCUACGACGGAUAUGGGUUGUGAGAGCAAUAACCCAGAGAUGAUAUCUGAGACACGAUAUCAGGCCCUACGGGGCGCAGCAGGCGCGAAAACUUCACAAUGUGCGAAAGCACGAUGAGGGAAUCCCAAGUGCUUGCACGUAAGUGUAAGCUGUUUCUAUGUUUAAAACGCAUAGAGAGUAAGGGCUGGGUAAGACGGGUGCCAGCCGCCGCGGUAAUACCUGCAGCUCGAGUGGUGGCCGCUAUUAUUGGGCCUAAAACGUCCGUAGCCGGUUUAAUAAAUGCCUGGGUAAAUCGUGUAGCUUAACUAUACGAAUUCCGGGUAGACUGUUAAACUUGAGAUCGGGAGAAGUUAGAGGUACUCCUGGGGUAGAGGUGAAAUUCUGUAAUCCUAGGGGGACCACCAGUGGCGAAGGCGUCUGACUAGAACGAGUCUGACGGUGAGGGACGAAGCCCUGGGGCGCGAACCGGAUUAGAUACCCGGGUAGUCCCAGCCGUAAACGAUGCGGGCUAGGUGUUGGGGUGGCUACGUGCCACUUCAGUGCCGCAGGGAAGCCAUUAAGCCCGCCGCCUGGGGAGUACGGCCGCAAGGCUGAAACUUAAAGGAAUUGGCGGGGGAGCACCACAAGGCGUGAAGCUUGCGGUUCAAUUGGAGUCAACGCCGGG